rnacentral:misc_RNA from 1 species
UUGUGGAGAAGGACGCCGAAGGUGGGGCUGAUGACUGGGGUGAAGUCGUAACAAGGUAGCCGUACCGGAAGGUGCGGCUGGAUCACCUCCUAACAGGGAGACAAUAAAUUGAUUGUGAUGUCUAAGUUUUCAUUCUAAGGCCGCAAUCCUGUCACCUUAAGGUCGAUCGGUACCUCAGAUUUUUGAAUUAAUCUUAUAAUUAAUUCUUUGGUUUCAGUUCCUAAACUUGUCUAGGUCACACCCAACAAAGGUUUCUCCUGGGCCAUUAGCUCAAGUGGUUAGAGCGCACCCCUGAUAAGGGUGAGGUCCCUGGUUCAAGUCCAGGAUGGCCCAUUCGUUGUUGGGGGUAUAGCUCAGUUGGUAGAGCGCCUGCUUUGCAAGCAGGAUGUCAGCGGUUCGAGUCCGCUUACCUCCACUGAAAACUAUCCUGAUAACUAAAUUUCGGAGAAAAAUUUGUAGAAGUGACUUAGCAUUGUCUGCCUGAAAAGAACUCAGCUUCUUGUCAUCUUUUUAUAGUUGAUAACAUGCUGGGCUCCCAUGGUUUAAUUCCAUGAGAAUUCAGUAGAACCUUGAAAACUGCAUAGAUUAGAAAGAAUAAAGCAUCUCAUGGAUGCAUAAUUCUGGUUUUUAUAAUUUAGCCUAAAAACUAAAUUACUUAAUUCUAGAAUUCAUGUUUAAUUCUUGAGUAAAAGCCGAGCACAAUUGAUUUUGUGAUUGUAUUAAGGUCAAGCUACAA